CACCGCGGUUAUACGAGAGGCCCAAGUUGAUAGCUAUCGGCGUAAAGAGUGGUUAAGAAUGAAGCUUAGACUAAAGCCGAAUAUUCUCAAGACUGUCAUACGUACCCGAGAACAAGAAGUACUUCCACGAAAGUGGCUUUAACCCUUCUGAACCCACGAAAGCUGGGAAA
rnacentral:rRNA from 1 species